rnacentral:lncRNA from 1 species
CUCGGUUCAAAUGGUGACAAACGAAAGAAGCGUUUUUGUCUUAACAUUUUAUUAUAAAUAAUAUAUUAAAAAUUUAAAUUACAUACAUACAUUGUAUGUUUAUUUACCGAAUGUAAAAAUAUUACUGCAUCUUUUUUAAAAGUACAGAACAAUUUAUUUGAUAUAAGGAAAGAUAAUUAUUUUUUGAUUCAAUCCUUCUUUAUUAAAAGCCGACACAUACCACCUUGACACUUCAAAUAUUCAGGAAGCUCCCUCGCUGGACAAUCAGCGUCGGUACGACAACGAUGCUCAGCUACAUUGUCAAAUAAAAAAAAUAAAUGUUAGUAAAAGUUGAUAAAAAAUUGUUUAAACAAUAAAUUUUUAGAUGGUUUGAAAAAUAGCCUACUAAAUAUUUUUAUGCUUUCAACUAGAAACAGAGAAAGAAAGAUGAUCAAAAAAUAGACAAACAUGAGAAUUUGAGCCAUAUUUUUCUACUUUUGCAU